GUGGGACAGGGGCUUAGGCAAUGGGGGCCUUCAGUGCACAGUGCGCAUGCGUGAGUCUGACAUCUACAGAGGCAGUUGGCAUUGGCCCCAUUCAAGCACUCCCCGAGGUCUACAGUGGAGAAGAGAAGGCUGCCAAGCCCCUGUGAAGAAGAAAGAGACUGUGUAUCGUCCCAGCCCCUCGUGACUUCACACUGGGUGUGAAGACAGAAUAGGAUCCUGAAAGAGGCCGACUUUAACGAAAGGAAUGAGUGUGUGCACUUUUGGACAUGGCGUCUAGAUGUCCUUCCAAUUAAGCGGUGCACAGUAAGUUGGGGAAACCGGAUUCAGAUGCAAGGUUCGCAGCAAAGGCGCUAAAGAAUCGCACAGUCAACCUCGUCUACAGAUGGCUGGAGGCAUGAGACACAAGCUUUCAAAGCAGUUUUUAAGCCACCAACCAUAAAGGCUCAGGAAAGAAUCCAGAAACUACCCCAAAAUUUCCCAUGAUGAUUGACAUCAAGAGAACACCAUUCUGGACCAGUUUCUGAGCCAGAAAUGUCCGACAUCACCUUGCUGAUAGGAAAGACGGCUGCUUCUC
rnacentral:lncRNA from 1 species